rnacentral:sRNA from 1 species
CGGCUGCAGGAGAAGCGGCAGAAGGAGCUCUGGAAUCUCCUGAAGAUUGCUUGUAGCAAGGUCCGUGGUCCUGUCAGUGGAAGUCCGGAUAGCAUGAAUGCCUCUCGACUUAGCCAGCCUGGGCAGCUGAUGUCUCAGCCCUCCACGGCCUCCAACAGCUUACCUGAGCCAGCCAAAAAGAGUGAAGAACUGGUGGCUGAAGCACAUAACCUGUGCACCCUGCUAGAAAAUGCCAUACAGGACACCGUGAGGGAACAAGACCAGAGUUUCACGGUAACAGCUUGUGUGAGCCUCCUGCGAUUCCAUGUCCUUUCUUUCUAUGGCAAAAUAGAAGAGAAAAUGGAAAUGCAAUCUGGCAUUAUCCUCAACCUCA